ensembl:processed_transcript
CAAACAUGCCACCACACCAAGCUGUGAUUUUUCACCUUGUGCAAUGGAGUCACCCUGAGAGUCUACAACAAUUCAUCUUAUUUCUGUAAGAGGUAAUAGCUAUCUUUAAAAGAUUCUGUCCUGGGGAUUGGAGAGAUGGCUCAGCAAUUGCAGAAGACCAGGGUUUGAUUCCCAGCACUACAUGGUGGCUCACAACCAUCUGUAAUUCUGAUUUUAGGAGGAUAUGGUAUCUUCUUCUGGCCUCUGUGGGCACUGAACACAUGUGGUUCAUAUAAAUACAUGCAGAGUUCAAGAGUUGAGGUCGAGCUCUGCUUACCUUACAACUUCAGCUCCAGGGACAUCUCUCAAGUGCAAAAGCAGGAUGCCAAGGUGGAGUUUGUCCUGUGGAUGCCAGCAGCUUCUCAGUUUGCUGAGAAAUAAAGAGCGAGGUUGAUUUCAGAAGAAAUGAUCUUCACGAUGCUAAGAACACAAGGCGGGAUUUCAAAGGAAGGAACUUAAAGGCCUCAGCUUCAUAUGACUGACCUCAGCUUCUCGUGACCUCACCUGGCUGACCUCAGCUUCUCGUGACCUCACAUGACCAACCUUGCUUCUAAGGAGUGGUGUGAGACCCGUGAAGCCCUUACCAUUCUAAGAAUCUGAUGAGUAAGAAAGGACAAACACAUGACAGGGGAGAACAGGAAAAGAAAUCUUUUCUUCAUCAAAAUGCACCUCUCGAGUCAGGAAAGACUCUUGUUAGAGUCUGGACAGCCUAAUAUCUAUGCACCUUCC